rnacentral:lncRNA from 10 species
GGAGCCUCCCAGCCGCGAUCCUCCGGGGCGGGACUUCCGGCUUCCCUGCUCCCACAAAAUGGUAGCCGCCGUGGGGGAUGUCCAGUUUUUUUUCCUCUUCCCAAGUACAGACGCAGAGCAGACUUGUCUUUCCGCUUAACCUCAACCUCGUGUGAUCUGCCAGUUUCGCUCCCGACGCCAAAUUCCAGCGAAACAGCUGAUGCCAGCCAGCUUGAAGACCCCUGCCACAGAAGAAGGGAAUCAGCAUGAGAAUACAGCUUCUUCAUCUCGCUGUCCCAUGACUUCGCCCUGUACUCUUCAGCCAAUUAAUGAUCUCCACACUUGGGACCACUCUAAAACCCUUAAGAACCUGAGACUCAAAGUCCUCCUGGAGACGAAUUUGAGGUUUCCUCCUAUCUGUGUUUGGUGGCCCUAUGAUUAAACCUCUUUCUCUUCUGCAACCUGGUGUCCCAGUGUAUUAACUUGCCAUGGGCAUCAGACAACAAACCUAUAUAUAGUAUCCCAAAUAUGGUGCUCCACUUUGAAACCUGAAGAAAUCCUGCAAUUGAGUUAGCCUUUUGAAAUAAAAAUUAUUUCAAAUUUUAAAAUAUUUAUAUAUGUUUCCACUUAAGAUAUCUACAAGCAUUUGUUUACAACCUUUUAUCUUGCUUUGCAUCUUAAACAUUUCUGUAUGGCAAUUUCCGUGUCUUCCUAUCAUCUCGGCCAUCUUAGUGCAAAGAUACAAAAUUGUGUGGCUUAUUAAGAAAAAUUACAGUAAGCUAAGGGUAGGUUAAAGGAUCUGAAACUUAGCAGGAAAAAUGAGCAGAAAUUAAAGCUAUAAAAGGCAUGGAUCCUGCUCCAGUUCUCUUUGCUUCUCCUUUGUUCUCUGUCUUCCUCACUUUUAACUGCCUUCUUUGUUUCCCUUGAACCUGACUACUUAAAAAAAAAAUUGAAGAUCUAAAUUAUCUCAAGGCUAAAAGGAUUUUUGUUUAGGAAGUAUGAAGAUUAAUUCAAUUAAAUAAAUACUUAUUGAGCAUUGACUAUCAGGGGAAUACUGGAAGAUAGGCCUGCAGAGGAACAUGUCAGAAUGAUCACACUAUUUGUGGGUGUGUAAUCUGGAAGCUGUACCAUGAUUAGUUGAAAGAGAGACUGAAGGCAAGAAAAACAGUGUGGUGACUUGGAGAAGAACCAAGACAUAAGGAAAUGAAGACCUACUCUUGGGUGAUGACAGUAAAAAUAAUGGAAUAGGCCUGAGAGACAGGAAAAGGGAGAACUGAUGAGACUCAGUUACUGAUAGGGCUAAAGAGGAGGAAGGACAGGGCAAGGUGGCUCACGCCUGUAAUCCCAGCACUUUGGGAGGCAAGGCAGGAAGAUCACUUGAGCCCAGGAAUUCAAGACCAGCCUGAGCAACAUGACAAAACCCCAUCUCUACAAAAAAUACAAAAAUUAGGCUGGGCGCAGUGGCCCAGGCCUGUAAUCCCAGCACUUUGGGAGGCCGAGGUGGGUG